GAUGAACGCUAGCUACGGGCUUAACACAUGCAAGUCGCGGGGCAGCAUGGGGGUUGCUUGCAAUCCCCGAUGGCGACCGGCGCACGGGUGAGUAACGCGUAUUCAACCUGCCCUUCACCACGGGAUAACCCGGCGAAAGUCGGACUAAUACCGUAUGUUGUCCAUUGACGGCAUCCGAUUUGGACGAAAGGCUUGGCGGUGAGGGAUGGGGAUGCGUCCGAUUAGCCAGACGGCGGGGUAACGGCCCACCGUGGCGCCGAUCGGUAGGGGUUCUGAGAGGAAGGUCCCCCACACUGGAACUGAGACACGGUCCAGACUCCUACGGGAGGCAGCAGUGAGGAAUAUUGGUCAAUGGGCGUAAGCCUGAACCAGCCAAGUAGCGUGCAGGAUGACGGCCCUAUGGGUUGUAAACUGCUUUUAUGCGGGGAUAAAGUGGCCCACGUGUGGGCUUUUGCAGGUACCGCAUGAAUAAGGACCAGCUAAUUCCGUG
rnacentral:rRNA from 1 species